rnacentral:rRNA from 1 species
GUAGGGAAUAUUGGACAAUGGGCGGAACCCUGAUCCAGCCAUGCCGCGUGGGGGAAGACUGCCCUCUGGGUUGUAAACUCCUUUUAUAUGGGAAGAACCGUCCUCAUUAAUGAGUGACCUGACGGUACCAUAGGAAUAAGCACCGGCUAACUCCGUGCCAGCAGCCGCGGUAAUACGGAGGGUGCAAGCGUUAUCCGGAUUCACUGGGUUUAAAGGGUGCGUAGGCGGAUAAAUAAGUCAGUGGUGAAAUCAACGGGCUCAACCUGUUAACUGCCAUUGAUACUGUGUAUCUUGAAUAUGAGAGAGGUAGGCGGAAUGUUGCAUGUAGCGGUGAAAUGCUUAGAUAUGCUACGGAACACCGAUUGCGAAGGCAGCUUACUAUUUCGUAAUUGACGCUGAGGCACGAAAGCGUGGGUAGCGAACAGGAUUAGAUACCCGAGUAGUCC